ACAGACAGAGCAGGACUUUUAUGGUCUGAAGAAGAGCAGGUCUGGAAGUGAGGAUGGGGCUCACUUUGCUCUGCAGGCUGGGCUUCUUCUUGAUUUGCACACUCUGCUGUGGAUAUGCUGAAGAACAUGAAAGCAAAGCCACUCUGACAGCGAAUAUAACAGAAAUACCAGCAGGGGGCAGUGUGACGCUGACAUGUUCUGUGGACAAACCUGCUGAAUUAAAAUAUCAGCUUUUCAGACGGACCUCCUCCACAGAUCAGACCAAUGUAGAUGAACAACCUGAUGGACGUUUCAGAGUCUCAGAAGGAGGAAUCUACACCUGCAGAGGAUAUGAUAAAGACAGACACACCACAACUUCUCUGAGUAAUGAAGUUGUUAUUUAUGCAACUGGUGAGUUUAGAUGUUUAGUCAGAUUUCUGAAAUUCUUUAAUUGUUUUUUUAAUUCUUGUUAAUGAACA